UACGUAGGUGGCAAGCGUUGUCCGGAUUACUGGGCGUAAAGAGCGCGCAGGCGGUCGGAUCAGUCGAAUGUGAAAGCCCCCGGCUCAACUGGGGAGGGUCAUUCGAUACUGUCCGACUCGAAGGCAGGAGAGGGAAGCGGAAUUCCCGGUGUAGUGGUGAAAUGCGUAGAUAUCGGGAGGAACACCAGUGGCGAAGGCGGCUUUCUGGCCUGUUCUUGACGCUGAGGCGCGAAAAGCUAGGGGAGCAAACGGGGAUUAAGAAACC
rnacentral:rRNA from 1 species